UACGGGGGGGGCAAGCGUUGUUCGGAAUUACUGGGCGUAAAGGGCUCGUAGGCGGCCAACUAAGUCAUACGUGAAAUCCCCCGGCUUAACCUGGGAACUGCGUCUGAUACUGGGAGGCUUGAGUAUGGGAGAGGGAUGUAGAAUUCCAGGUGUAGCGGUGAAAUGCGUAGAUAUCUGGAGGAAUACCGGUGGCGAAGGCGGCAUCCUGGACCAUUACUGACGCUGAGGCGCGAAAGCUAGGGGAGCAAACGGG
rnacentral:rRNA from 1 species